AACGAACGCUGGCGGCAUGCCUAACACAUGCAAGUCGAACGAGACCUUCGGGUCUAGUGGCGCACGGGUGCGUAACGCGUGGGAACCUUCCCUUAGGUUCGGAAUAACUCCCCGAAAGGGGUGCUAAUACCGGAUAAUGUCUUCGGACCAAAGAUUUAUCGCCUUUGGAUGGGCCCGCGUUGGAUUAGCUAGUUGGUAGGGUAAAAGCCUACCAAGGCGACGAUCCAUAGCUGGUCUGAGAGGAUGAUCAGCCACACUGGGACUGAGACACGGCCCAGACUCCUACGGGAGGCAGCAGUGGGGAAUAUUGGACAAUGGGCGAAAGCCUGAUCCAGCAAUGCCGCGUGAGUGAUGAAGGCCUUAGGGUUGUAAAGCUCUUUUACCCGGGAUGAUAAUGACAGUACCGGGAGAAUAAGCGCCGGCUAACUCCGUG
rnacentral:rRNA from 1 species